CACGCUGUAAACGAUGAUAACUCGCUGUUGGCGAUAUACUGUCAGCGGCCAAGCGAAAGCGUUAAGUUAUCCACCUGGGGAGUACGAUCGCAAGGUUGAAACUCAAAGGAAUUGACGGGGGCCCGCACAAGCGGUGGAGCAUGUGGUUUAAUUCGAUGAUACGCGAGGAACCUUACCUGGGCUUGAACGCAUUUUGACAGACUGGGAAACCAGUUCUUCUUCGGACAAUUUGCGAGGUGC
rnacentral:rRNA from 1 species